rnacentral:rRNA from 1 species
GGCAGCUGACGAGUCCUUAACUGACGCUAAAGCUCGAAAGUGCGGGUAUCGAAACAGGAUUAGAUACCCUGGUAGUCCGCACGGUAAACGAUGGAUGCCCCGCUGUUUGCGAUAUAUUGUAAGCGGCCAAGAGAAAUCGUUAAGCAUCCCACCUGGGGAGUACGCCGGCAACGGUGAAACUCAAAGGAAUUGACGGGGGCCCGCACAAGCGGAGGAACAUGUGGUUUAAUUCGAUGAUACGCGAGGAACCUUACCCGGGCUUGAACUGCCAGCGAACGAUACAGAGAUGUUGAGGCCCUUCGGGGCGCUGGUGGAGGUGCUGCAUGGUUGUCGUCAGCUCGUGCCGUGAGGUGUCGGCUUAAGUGCCAUAACGAGCGCAACCCCUCUCGCCAGUUUCCAUCAGGUGAUGCUGGGCACUCUGGCGACACUGCCACCGUAAGGUGUGAGGAAGGUGGGGAUGACGUCAAAUCAGCACGGCCUGACGUGCGGUGUGUACAAACCCUGACAAUGGUGGUACAGAGAGUCAAUCCCCAGCAAUGUGGAUUCAAUCCUGAAAGCCAUCGUCAGUUCGGAGAGGGCUAUGCAACCCGACGCCAUGAA